UACGUAGGAGGCGAGCGUUGUCCGGAGUUACUGGGCGUAAAGGGUGCGCAGGCGGCCUGCCGCGUGGGGGGUGAAAUCGCCCGGCUUAACCGGGCGGGUGCUUUCCAGACGGGCAGGCUUGAGGGACGGAGAGGGGCGCGGAAUUCCGGGUGGAGCGGUGAAAUGCGUAGAGAUCCGGAAGAACACCGACGGCGAAGGCAGCGCCCUGGACGUCAUCUGACGCUCAUGCACGAAAGCGCGGGGAG
rnacentral:rRNA from 1 species